AUCUCUCUCCGCCGCCAUCUCCAACGGCGACGACCUCUCCCCCUUCAUCCGCCGCUUCUUCGCCCAGUUCAAGCCCGAGGCCCUCCUCCACAACCUCCGCCUCUUCGCCCGAUCCAAGGAGUCCGAGAUCGAGUCCGUCUGCAAAGUUCACUACCAGGACUUCAAUCGCGCCUUCGACGACCUCCGCUCCCUCCUCUCCAAGGCCGAAACCCUAAAAAGCUCGAUCUCUGACUCCAACUACACUAUCCAGUUCGUCGGUGGCCCGCUCCUGGUGUCGCUCACCCCCUAAUUCUCAAUAACCCUCUCGAUAAACAGGUUGUUUGAUCUCUCAACGACCCUCUUGAUUCCUUUCUCUCAAAUGGAGACAGAUUUGAUGAGUUCUCAUUAGGACAAUGACGAUGAGUACGAAAUAUUCAAUCAGAGAAUGAACCCACCAAGGACGCCUCAAUAUUCGACCGUCUCCCUCAAUUGAUUGUCUUAUGGAAAAUGUUGCUUUGGAGAUUGGAACCCCUAUGGAUGCUUGGUGGAGUGAUGGGCAGUGGGAAGGCAUUGUAACUGGAGUAGAGAGCUGUAGAGAGCUCCGGAAAUGACAGUGUACAAGUCUAUUUUCCAGGUUGCCAGCAUUAAGCUAUCAACUAUCUCUGCCCACAUAAGCUAAAGACGACACAGAUUUACAUACCUCUGAUUUUCAGACUCCUCUCAUUGUUCAAAACCUUUUUAUAUUCCUAUAUUUCACUGUAAGAAAGGCACACCAAGCUUGCCCAGACUAAAUAUCUAAUUUGGGAAUUUUCUCUGCCUUUUUUUUUUGAUGUUUUACAGCAUUUAUUCAUCAAUUAUCAUGGUUUUCUUUCCUUUU